CCAAGGUUACAACCCAUUGAAAGAUAAAAAAGCUAAAAGAUUCAUUUUGAUUGCCACAAGCAGCACUGGUGCGGCUCUUUCUUCUCUUUUUCUUUAUUACUUUUCGCUUUAAUUGUCCAAUUUCGACUAUUUUUUAAUGGAAGGAAAGAGGAGAAUUUGGAUAAAUUGAUUGUACAGGACACUGGAACAAAAGGGAAAGGGUUAUGCUCUUUUCCUCCUCUUUUUUGGGCUUUGAAUUGUAACUGUGGGGGUGGUUAUUGAGAAUAAAAUUCUCUCUAACUUUUUCCCUGUGUGUAACCUUAUAUAUUGAAUUUUCUGCAACUGGAACGCACAGGGAAAAAGUUAGAGAGAAUUUUAU
rnacentral:misc_RNA from 1 species